ACUGAAAAUUCAGAAUCAAAAUCAGAAACAGCUGAGGUAGUUACUCGGGUGCCUUCCUCCAGCCUUAUUCAAAAGACUAUAGGAUGAACGAGAGCAAUAGUCUCCAAAACAUGUCUGGAAAAUGUUAUUGCGAGAACUAUCCCCUCUUCGCCUUGGCACAUAACUGAUUUCGCACCUUGGAUGGAGCCUAACCAGAUCAGCAAUGAAGCAUCUAUUGGUAAAGACAUCCAGUAUGCACGUCUCUUGCCUGAGAAUCUGAUAGUACAAAGCUGAAGAAGUCAAACUACUCAUGACUGUUUGGAAAAGAGAACCA